rnacentral:lncRNA from 1 species
CAGGGGUCCUGGGUUUCUGUUGUUGUGGUUGGUUGGUUGGCUGGUGUCCAUGUCGGCCGACGGAGGGGGGGCGGGGCAGCGGCCGGGGAGCGUCUGAGCGGCGGCGCGCGCGAGGAGAGGAGCGAGGAGAGGAGCGAGGAGAGGAGCGAGGAGAGGAGCGAGGAGAGGAGCGAGGAGAGGAGCGCGCGGCUGCUGGGCCGCCGUCGUGGGAGGCGUCGGUGAGAGCCGCGCGUGCCGAGCCGAGCCCAGCCCGGCGGAGUCGGCCGCGCUCUGCUGCUCUCUCCCGGGCCGGGCUCGUCCGUGGACGCCGCUCCGUGUCCCCGGUGGGCACAGCAGCCCGGGCCCUCCACAGCCACGGCCGGCCGCUAGCCUGAGGAGGCCCUCCUUCAGCUCCCGCUCUUCCUGCUCGCCGGACGCGGACGACCAGGGCGCCUGCGAAGACGAUUCCGUCUGGGAGAGGAGUCAGAGCUCCAGGUCCAGAAUUCACAGCCUGGAAGCCUGAAAACUUCACCCCAUUGCCAUCUCAACAGGGUCUGCUUGGCCCUGUGUGAAUGAGCCUUGGUGCCUCGUUGUAUCUAAGAGAACCUUGAGUGUGGAGCGAGGGCAAGGCCAGAGUGAGAACCUGUCUGUGUGUGGGGUGGGAGUCCUGACCCGGGUAGGAAGAAGGUUGUGUAUUUGAAUGCCUGAAAUCCAGCCGGGUCAGUGCUAUGUAUACACAACUUUUCUUCUGGCCCUAGCUUUGAGAAAAAUCAACGGUGCUUCACUUUCUCUUAGCAUUUUCAUAAUUGUCCAGUUUGAGUAAAGACAUACCCUUGGAACACUAUAAAGACAUAUUGUUCUGGAAGGGGUAUCUAAUCUCCUCCCUUCUCUCUUCCUCCUUCUUCAUCUCCUUCAUGAUCAUGAUUAUGAUCAUCUUCAUCACCAUCUCCUCCUCUUCCUCCUCCUUCUUUAUCUUCUUCAUGACCAUCAUCAGCAUCACCAUCAUCGUCAUCACUUCAUCACUAUCUAUUGAGUCGAUGAAGUGUUUUAUUCUUUUCACAUGUCUAACCAUCUAUUAAUUCAUUUUGGUCAUUACAGAAACUCUGUAUAGUAAACCAGUAAGGAUUAAAUAUGCCUAUUUUAGAGAUAUGAAAAUUAAGGAUCAGAUAGAUAAUGCUACUUGUCCAAGACACAGAUAGUGGCAACAAUAAACCCAGCUACCUUCCUCCUGACA